UACGUAGGAGACGAGCGUUGUCCGGAAUUACUGGGCGUAAAGCGCGUGUAGGCGGAUGAGCAAGUCUGCUGUGAAAGCUCCUGGCUUAACCGGGAGUGGUCGGUGGAAACUGCUCGUCUGGAGGACGGUAGAGGUAGGUAGAAUUCCCGGUGUAGUGGUGAAAUGCGUAGAGAUCGGAAAGAACACCAACGGCGAAAGCGCUCUGCUGGGCCGACACUGACACUGAGAGACGAAAGGCUAGGGGAGCGAACAGG
rnacentral:rRNA from 1 species